rnacentral:rRNA from 1 species
CUGGGAUCUUUGCACCAGCAACCGACCAAUCAAUUGAGAGAGGUUGAGUAUGAGCAUAUCUGUUAGGACCCGAAAGAUGGUGAACUAUGCUUGUGAAGGGCAAACUCAGGGGAAACUCUGAUGGAGGCUCGUAGCGAUGCUGACGUGCAAAUCGUUCGUCAUACAUGGGUAUAGGGGCGAAAGACUAAUCGAAC